rnacentral:rRNA from 1 species
GAUGAAAGCUAGCGGCAGGCUUAAUACAUGCAAGUCGAGGGGCAGCAUGACUGUAGCAAUACAGUUGAUGGCGACCGGCAAACGGGUGCGGAACACGUACAGAACCUUCCUUCGAGCGGGGAAUAGCCCAGAGAAAUUUGGAUUAAUACCCCAUAGUACAACGGAGUGGCAUCACUUUGUUGUUAAAGAUUUAUCACUUGAAGAUGGCUGUGCGGCUGAUUAGGUAGUUGGCGGGGUAACGGCCCACCAAGCCUGCGUUCCGUAACUGGUGUGAGAGCACGACCAGUCACACGGGCACUGAGACACGGGCCCGACUCCUACGGGAGGCAGCAGUAAGGAAUAUUGGUCAAUGGACGAAAGUCUGAACCAGCCAUGCCGCGUGGAGGAUGAAGGUCCUCUGGAUUGUAAACUUCUUUUAUAUGGGACGAAAAAAGGGUUUUCUAACUCGUCUGACGGUACCAUAUGAAUAAGCACCGGCUAACUCCGUGCCAGCAGCCGCAGUAAGAC